AGUGAACGCUGGCGGUAGGCCUAACACAUGCAAGUCGAACGGCAGCACAGUAAGAGCUUGCUCUUACGGGUGGCGAGUGGCGGACGGGUGAGGAAUACAUCGGAAUCUACUUUUUCGUGGGGGAUAACGUAGGGAAACUUACGCUAAUACCGCAUACGACCUACGGGUGAAAGCAGGGGAUCUUCGGACCUUGCGCGAGUGAAUGAGCCGAUGUCGGAUUAGCUAGUUGGCGGGGUAAAGGCCCACCAAGGCGACGAUCCGUAGCUGGUCUGAGAGGAUGAUCAGCCACACUGGAACUGAGGCACGGUCCAGACUCCUACGGGAGGCAGCAGUGGGGAAUAUUGGACAAUGGGCGCAAGCCUGAUCCAGCCAUACCGCGUGGGUGAAGAAGGCCUUCUGGUUGUAAAGCCCUUUUGUUGGGAAAGAAAAGCAGCAGGUUAAUCCCCCGCUGUUCUGACGGUACCCAAAGAAUAAGCACCGGCUAACUUCGUG
rnacentral:rRNA from 1 species